AGUUAUGCUACGGACCAUUUAAAAUUAAUUACGAUUUUCGAUUCAUUCAAUUAUAUUUCAUUAAAAAUACCCCUCUAGAAAAUUCUUUGGAGACGCCUAUUUAAUCGCCUAGGUGCCUAUUUUCGCAGCGAAGCAAGAGGAAAGCACCGCGCAUGUUUCUAUCGGAUCGAUACGAAUCGAUUUCCGAUAACAUUGAACAGCAGUUGGUCAGGAAACGGCUCGAAGGGCGGAUGGCGCGCCGCGAGUGAGGUUAUUCUCACUUUUAAGUGACGGGAUUGAAACAAAUUUUCGAUGGAAAUCAAAUAAUUAGAAGGAAAUUAAGCGUCAGCUAAUCCCAUCUACAAAACUAGAUAACCAAAGUUAAACAUGUCUUUGGACUUCUUCACAUAACAGAAGUGGAUAUUCCGGCGUGCCUGCCUUGUUUCAAUCCCGUAACUUAGUUAUUUAGUCACACAACGUGACUCUAUCACGUUAAUUAUGUACUAGUUAGAUUGCUAGCCACUCUGUGAUGGUUUAUCCCUAGAGUGGGCUGUUUUUGUUGGAUAAUACACCAUACCUGAUUUUACUACAACCAGCAUCUUCACCCAGGACCUUGCAGUAGGACUUACUCACCACAGCAGCCAACCAGCGUUAGCGUGCCAAAAGAAUUCAUCUCUAUGGACUUGCAACCCUACUUUUAACCGGCUGUUGUGUAAAAGCUAAGUUUAUUUACUUUUUCUGUAUUUACUUUUGGGUAAGAUAUAUUUGCUACAUUGUAAACUUUUCGUAUGCAUACGAUUAGGAUGAGUACAUAUAUUUUCGUGAUAGAUAGGGUUUUAGGUUGUUGUUUUUUUUUUCUUUUUGAUUCAGUAUAAGUAGGAGUUAGUUAAAAUAAAUAAAAUCAGGUCUUGUUUAAUAAUCAUAAAUAAUUGUAUCUUAAAAUUUAAUAGGGAAUCGGGUUGUAAAAUUUUGUCGCGGAUUUUAAAUAGGGAAUACGUCUCGUAGGUUUUUUUUGUAAAAUAUAUAAAGAGUCACUGACCAACUCAUUUAUAUAGACCUUUUUGCUAUUCCAACGGACUUUUGAUUUGGAUUUUGAUUUUAAUACUUUUGCUUGGCCAGUGAUAGUGGAUAAUUGCUUGUUGAGUGGCCUUUGCGGUCCUAUUUUAUCUUUUCCCCAUCCACUAUCACUGUUAUUACGUUGCGUUAUAUGUAAAGUGUUAUUAUUUAAUAUUUAUUAUUAAUAUAUUUGUAUGUAUUAA
rnacentral:lncRNA from 1 species